GACAGAGGGUGCAAACGUUGCUCGGAAUCACUGGGCGUAAAGGGCGUGUAGGCGGGAAGGAAAGUCGGGCGUGAAAUCCCUGGGCUCAACCUAGGAACUGCACUCGAAACUACUUUUCUUGAGUGCCGGAGAGGAAAGCGGAAUUCCUGGUGUAGCGGUGAAAUGCGUAGAUAUCAGGAGGAACACCUGUGGCGAAAGCGGCGCACUGGACCACAACUGACGCUGAGGCGCGAAAGCUAGGGGAGCAAACAGG
rnacentral:rRNA from 1 species